CUAUGCUUUGACUUGGUUUCCUCCGUAGCCACAAAUCCUGGUGUUUUUUCAGAUAAACUAUAGGAGUCUUGGCUUCUUGAGCUUUCUAGUGCGUUUGUCUACCUGAUUAUCAAACUUGGCUACUUCAGACUUGACCUUCUGACGUGCACACACCUGCUUAAUCACCAUGGGGAUGUCGUCCAGUGCUAUUCUCUGCCAGAUGUCCUUACUAGGCCUUCUAUCCUAUGUCGCAGUCCUUUCCUGCCAUGGGCUGACCAAAGAGCUACUCAUGCACCGACCGUCCUGGGCCCAAUCUACACACAGACGCCUCCUUCUGAUUUUCCGAGCAGACUGUCCAGUGGCCAGUUGUGUGGCUACCAACUCAGUCUAUCGCACUGAUCGUCCUCAGCCUGCGUCUGUCAGACCAGCCCCAGUUCCCGAGGCCACCGAGUGGCAGCACACGCUGGACGCCGGCGGGGAGCCCGGUGCCCCUGAAACCCUGCGUGUGGACUGCUGUGGACCAGGGAGUCCUCCGGCCACCGCCCAGGCUACGGCUGGAAAUCCAGCGCGUCCGCUGCUGGCAUGGCUGGGGCUGUUCGGUCACACAGUGGACCCCCGGCUGCAGGCCCCACGCAGGCAGGGCCAGGGCAAUGUGGCCUGCCUUACCAGCGCUAAAUUGGGUGAACGGAGGAGGUACCUUUCACAGCCACAGAGGCCUAGGAACCCUACACGCAAGUCCCCAAAAUGUCCUGAGGUUCCCACACCUGCCUGGAAGUGACCUUCUUUACCUACCUGGGAAGGAUGUUGAAACCCCAUAAGCAAGAUAUCACACUGAGAUUUCCAAGACUCUCCCAUCCAAUCUGCUCCACCUGGCAAGAGUCCAUCCAAAGUGGCACCACAAGCAAAGCAUUGUGCAAGCGAACCUGACAGUGGCCAGCACCACUCCACAGUGACUCCUGCUCUGGGGAAAGUGAAAAUAACCACACACAUUAGUUUGACUGCAGCCCCAACAGUGGGCUUGGAGCAGACAUAUGGUCUGACUGCAGGCCCUACUCACCAACAAAACCUCUCCAGGGACAAUGCUGGGAGAACAUGCUGCAGUUCAGUGCAACCACAGUUCUUGCAAAUGAGCUGAGGGUGGGCAUCUGGUCUUGGUCUGGCCCCAGUCUGGCCCCUUAACCAUAUAGUGACCAAAACCUGCCCAUAAAAGGCAAAGAGCCAUUGAAGACAACUGAAGUCAAACACAUCUCACCUACAAAAGAAGGCUACACACAACACACAUAGAAAAUAACCCUGAAGCAUUAGGUUCUGCUGCAUAGGAGACAUCACAUUGCGAGGCACUAUAGGACCUUUUCUUCAGAGGCCACUAAUUUCAAAAGCAAACAUAGCUGACUUUCCUAACACAUAGACACGGAAAGCUAGACAAAAUGUGAAGACAGAGGAAUAUGUCCCAAAUGAAAGAACAGGACAAACUCGCAGCAAGAGAGCUAAACAAAAUAGAGAUAAGCAAUAAGCCAAACAGAAAAUUUAAAGUAAUUGUCCUAAAGAUACCCACUGGAUUUGAGAAAAGAGUAGAGGAUUUAAAAAAAAAAAAUUAGAAAGAACGACUCAGAGAUGAACUCAACUGAAAUUAACUAGUAGACAAGAGGAUGCAGAAGAAUUGAUCAGUGACCUGAAGGAUAGAGUAAUAGAAAGCAACUAAAUAGAAUGGGAAAGAGAAAAAAGAAUAUUAGAAAAUGAGAAUAGGUUGAAGAAACACAGUGACACCAUCAAGUAUAAUAACAUUCACAUUAUAGAGAUUCCAGAAGAAGAGAGAGAAAAGGGGGGCAAAAAGUUUAUUUUAAGAAAUAAGAGCUGAAAACUUCCCUAAUCUGGAGAAGAAAACAGAAAUCCAGAUCCAGGAGGCACAGAAAGCCCCCAACAAAUACAACCGCAGUUGGUCCACACCAGGACAUAAUAGUUAAAAUGGCAAAAAAUUCUGAUAAAGAAUUUUAGAAUUAGCAAGAGAAAACAGUUACAUACAAUGGAAACCCCACAAGACUAUCCACUGACUUCAGGCAUGAUAUACUCAAAAUGCUAAAAGGGAAACAUCUGUAGCCAAAAAAUGAUAGCUUUGCUGGAUAGCAUAUAAGUAUAGAAGUUUCUCUGACAAAAAAAAAAAAAAAAAGUUAAAUUCAUGAACA